GGGAUAUGCCUUUAUCAACAUGUUGUCUCCAUCACUCAUUAUCCCAUUUUACGAGGCAUUUAAUGGAAAGAAGUGGGAGAAAUUUAAUAGUGAAAAAGUUGCUGCUUUGGCUUAUGCUCGUAUUCAGGGAAAGACAGCCCUUGUAGCUCACUUCCAGAAUUCAAGUUUGAUGAAUGAAGAUAAGCGAUGUAGGCCAAUCCUUUUCCACUCAGAAAGUUCAGAAUUGGGGGAUCAGAUUGUUCAGGAACAUCUUUCAUCAGGCUGCAGCCAACCUGAGGAUCCAGUUGGCAAAUUGGAGAAUCGCUAGCAGUAGCAUUGAAAUG
rnacentral:misc_RNA from 1 species